rnacentral:rRNA from 1 species
AACGAACGCUGGCGGCAUGCCUAACACAUGCAAGUCGAACGAGAACUUCGGGUCUAGUGGCGCACGGGUGCGUAACGCGUGGGAACCUGCACUUAGGUUCGGAAUAACUACCCGAAAGGGGUGCUAAUACCGGAUAAUGUCUUCGGACCAAAGAUUUAUCGACUUUGGAUGGGCCAGAGUUGGAUUAGCUAGUUGGUAGGGUAAAAGCCUACCAAGGCGACGAUCCAUAGCUGGUCUGAGAGGAUGGUCAGCCACACUGGGACUGAGACACGGCCCAGACUCCUACGCGAGGCAGCAGUGGGUAAUAUUGGACAAUGGGCGAAGGCCUGAUCCAGCAAUGCCGCGUGAGUGAUGAAGGCCGUAGGGUUGUAAAGCUCUUUUACCCGUGAUGAUAAUGACAGUACCGGGAGAAUAAGCUCCGGCUAACUCCGUG